UACUAAUAGUCAAAACUUUCAACAACGGAUCUCUUGGUUCUCGCAUCGAUGAANAACGCAGCGAAAUGCGAUACGUAAUAUGAAUUGCAGAUAUUCGUGAAUCAUCGAAUNUUUGAACGCACAUUGCGCCCUCUGGUAUUCCGGAGGGCAUGCCUGUUUGAGCGUCGUUUCUCCCUCAAACCGCUGGGUUUGGUGUUGAGCAAUACGACUUGGGUUUGCUUGAAAGACGGUAGUGGUAAGGCGGGAUCGCUUUGACAAUGGCUUAGGUCUAACCAAAAACAUUGCUUGCGGCGGUAACGUCUACCACGUAUAUCUUCAAACUUUGACCUCAAAUCAGGUAGGACUACCCGCUGAACUUAAGCAUAUCAAUAANCGGAGGA
rnacentral:rRNA from 1 species